AGCUGGUUCUCCCCGAAAGCUAUUUAGGUAGCGCCUCGUGAACUCAUCUUCGGGGGUAGAGCACUGUUUCGGCUAGGGGGUCAUCCCGACUUACCAACCCGAUGCAAACUACGAAUACCGAAGAAUGUUAUCACGGGAGACACACGGCGGGUGCUAACGUCCGUCGUGAAGAGGGAAACAACCCAGACCGCCAGCUAAGGUCCCAAAGUCAUGGUUAAGUGGGAAACGAUGUGGGAAGGCACAGACAGCCAGGAUGUUGGCUUAGAAGCAGCCAUCAUUUAAAGAAAGCGUAAUAGCUCACUGGUCGAGUCGGCCUGCGCGGAAGAUGUAACGGGGCUAAACCAUGCACCGAAGCUGCGGCAGCGACACUAUGUGUUGUUGGGUAGGGGAGCG
rnacentral:rRNA from 1 species